rnacentral:rRNA from 1 species
UAGGGAAUCUUCGGCAAUGGACGGAAGUCUGACCGAGCAACGCCGCGUGAGUGAAGAAGGUUUUCGGAUCGUAAAGCUCUGUUGUAAGAGAAGAACGAGUGUGAGAGUGGAAAGUUCACACUGUGACGGUAUCUUACCAGAAAGGGACGGCUAACUACGUGCCAGCAGCCGCGGUAAUACGUAGGUCUCGAGCGUUGUCCGGAUUUAUUGGGCGUAAAGCGAGCGCAGGCGGUUAGAUAAGUCUGAAGUUAAAGGCUGUGGCUUAACCAUAGUAGGCUUUGGAAACUGUUUAACUUGAGUGCAAGAGGGGAGAGUGGAAUUCCAUGUGUAGCGGUGAAAUGCGUAGAUAUAUGGAGGAACACCGGUGGCGAAAGCGGCUCUCUGGCUUGUAACUGACGCUGAGGCUCGAAAGCGUGGGGAGCAAACAGGAUUAGAUACCCUGGUAGUCCACGCUGUAAACGAUGAGUGCUAGUGUUAGACCCUUUCCGGGGUUUAGUGCCGUAGCUAACGCAUUAAGCACUCCGCCUGGGGAGUACGACCGCAAGUG